rnacentral:rRNA from 1 species
CCUACGGGAGGCAGCAGUGGGGAAUAUUGGACAAUGGGCGAAAGCCUGAUCCAGCAAUGCCGCGUGAGUGAUGAAGGCCUUCGGGUCGUAAAGCUCUUUUACCAGGGAUGAUAAUGACAGUACCUGGAGAAUAAGCUCCGGCUAACUCCGUGCCAGCAGCCGCGGUAAUACGGAGGGAGCUAGCGUUGUUCGGAAUUACUGGGCGUAAAGAGUACGUAGGCGGUUAUUCAAGUCAGAGGUGAAAGCCCGGGGCUCAACCCCGGAACUGCCUUUGAAACUAGAUAGCUAGAGUCUUGGAGAGGUUAGUGGAAUUCCGAGUGUAGAGGUGAAAUUCGUAGAUAUUCGGAAGAACACCAGUGGCGAAGGCGACUAACUGGACAAGUACUGACGCUGAGGUACGAAAGCGUGGGGAGCAAACAGGAUUAGAUACCCUGGUAGUCCACGCCGUAAACGAUGAUAACUAGUUGUUCGGUCACUUGGUGACUGAGUGACGCAGCUAACGCAUUAAGUUAUCCGCCUGGGGAUACGGUCGCAAGAUUAAAACUCAAAGAUAUACGACGNGNGAGAGCGACGACGACGACGACGGAGGAGGAG